UACGUAGGGUGCAAGCGUUAAUCGGAAUUACUGGGCGUAAAGCGUGCGCAGGCGGUUUCUUAAGUCAGAUGUGAAAGCCCCGGGCUUAACCUGGGAACUGCGUUUGAAACUGGGAGACUUGAGUGUGGCAGAGGGGGGUGGAAUUCCACGUGUAGCAGUGAAAUGCGUAGAUAUGUGGAGGAACACCAAUAGGGAAGGCAGCUCGCUGGGACGGUACUGACGCUAAGGCGCGAAAGCGUGGGGAGCGAACAGG
rnacentral:rRNA from 1 species